GGCUGUACCCCCCUUUCUCCCUCUCACUUCCUGGCUCGAAGGCCCGCCCGUUCUUCCGGCCUUCCGCUUCCUCCUCUGCUCUCGGUGCGGACAGUGGUCGAUUGUGGUUACUUGGAUGGCAGCGAUUUUCUUUGUCAGCACAGGCACUAAGCGGACAAGCGGACCGUGAACGCAUCACUGGCGCACCACCGACGUUCCGGUUAACACAGAGCAGCGCGGAACUUCUUCAUCUCUCCCCUCAUCGGGAAGACGCCUGCUGAUCGGGAUCGGUGGCUCAACUCUGGACAUUAAGAUAAGUGCAGGAACACUGCUGCUUCGCCUACCCUCAUUGUGCGGUGGCGCUUUGCCUGGGAUUGCUCUGUUGCCUUGCUGUAUGGACUAUUGGCUGUGCUGGCUCUCCUGCUUUGCUUGCCGCUUUAUGC